CAAACAAAGCAACACAGCCAAAAGAGAUUCAUUCAUUCAUUCAUCUUCUACCGCUUAGUCCAAUUAAGGGUCACGGGGGGCUGGAGCCUAUCCCAGCAGUCAUAGAGCGCGAGGCGGGGUACACCCAGGGCAGGACACUAGUCUGUUGCAGG